CACCAAAACUCUUUGUCAGGAGGUAUUUACUUGCAUUUUUUUGCAAAAUAUCCAUAAAUGCGUCUGUUACAGUUUUGGAAGAUCAAUAUUACUCGCCUUUUACUCUUCUUUCGUUUUGAAGGAAAUAUGAGUGAAAUCAGAAGGACAAUCGUCGUUUUGAUGAUAUACCUUCGCCUCUUUAGAGUAAGGACGAUCUUCAGAGUUGAGUCUUUGAUCUUAAUUUUUUUUAAGACUAAUUCAAAGUACUCGUAGUAUAGAACGUCACAAUU
rnacentral:snoRNA from 24 species